UUCUGUGUUUGUAUGGUGUAGUUAACAUCUGGUUUUGUGCAUAAUAAUUUUUGUUAAUUGCAGUGUAAUAUGAAAUUGAAACAUGACUUAUAGCCAUCUCAGGAAACAAAUGUAUUGGUUUUGGAAAGUUUAAUUUGUUGAACAAACUCAAGUCACAAACUUAAUUCUGGAAUUACUUGCUUUUGUGUUUAAAAAUAUUAUAUAUUUGGAUCAAUAUUAGAAAUUUCUGGAUUAUAGUAACAAGUCUGCUCAUUGACAAUUUUAAGUCUAAGGAACACAUAAAACAUCAAGCUUAAGUAAAUGCAAAUUUUCUUUUUGGAUCCACCUGCUAGAAUUGUACAGAAUGAGUGACAGUUUUUGUUACACAGUUGACAUUAGUACAUGCAUAGCAUCUUUUUUUAAUCCAUUUUAUAUUUUUCAAUUAUUUUUUAUUUUUACUUAGAGCAGGCAUCAUUGCCAGGAGAAUUGAUUUGUGUGUGUACAUGAUAUAUUUUUAUACUGAAGAGGAAAGCAAUGCUUUGAGUUUUUUAGAGCUUGUCUUUGCAUGGAAGAUCCAUGCUUAAAUUCAGGAGUGAAUAUUAUAAUCUAGAAUAAAAAAGACAUAGUUCCAGCUGCAGGCAUGUUCUUAACUUGCCAUGUUACAGCUGCAGUAGUUAGAUAAAUUUGUUGUUGAACUUAACACUAUUUGUUUGUUGAUCUUGGCUUUUAAACCAAGGUAGAGUGUAAAAUCUUUGUUAGAUAAAACCGUUAGUUUAGUUUUCAAAAUGCAUGUGUUCUUUUAAGCUUCUUAUGUACUCAAAACUUAUUUUUGUAGUCCUGAGGCAGGAUUAGGUAGAGAAGCACAGGAAAUCCCAUUAAACGGUUCUUAGCAGCUUGUCUUUUGCUGAGGUUGAAUUGUCCUCUGUACUCUUUAUCUGUUUCAGCAUAGGAUGUGUUAGGUUAAUACUGCCUUCAGGAACAACUUCAGACUGUGAGGGGAGCUUAAUAUGUUCAAAUGUUCUGAGCCUCUUGUACUCUUAGGACCACAGUCUAAAGUAUGUCACUUGUGUGUCCAUUAUUUUAGUAUUAUAUCCAAAAAGGCUGCCUCAAGAACUGAGAACAUAAAGCCUGCUGGCUAUCAAGAAGGGUGAAAUCUUCAUCCCAGAAUCAAAAACUGGUGCCUUAAAUGGCAGCUAUCAGUGUUGUUUUCUUUAAUAGGUACCGGCUAAACUGAGAUGACUUGACAAGUUGUAGAAUUUAUACAUACGUUAAUCAACAUCAUUGUGAAAACUGAAGUGUAAAUUUUUCUUUCAUUUUUUGUUUUUUCAACCUUGUCAGGUGCUGUUAAGCUCACAGAAAAAAAAAAAAAAGUAGCAAUGUGCUUAAUCAAGUGCCCUGUUUCUUUGCCGUUUCCCAUGUAAUUGAAAUGCAGUAUAUUUUUUGUAAUAUUUGGUGAUCUUGGAGAAACAAAUAUAAUUUUAUUUUAGAGAGUAAAUCCAUGAUGUGUUCUCAGUUAGAUGUGAUGAGAGUCUCAGUUUGGAAGGGAGAAAGGAAAGGUGAGGGAUUCCUGAGAGAAAAGAGACUGUUAGAGGUGGGACUUCUUACAGAGUAGCCAGUAUGAGCUGCCCUUGCACAUUGCAAGGAUGGGUUUUUCCACUUUGGCAUUGCAGUUGACCCAGGCAUCAACUGGAACCAGGUGUCAGACGUCGGUGAAGGUAAAUCUUCCAGAAAGAGAACUGAGAAAAUAAUUGUGAAACACUGUGUAAUCCAUGCAGACCUUCCACUAUGUCAUCUGUUAAAUUGCUGCUUCAGUGCACUUCAGGAUAUGACUCAACAAUUUUAAGUACAUCAUGCUGCUAAAGUCAUGCUACAGUCAUUUGGUCAAGAAUCAGCACCAAAAACUUUAAAAUUAUUCACCUUUCUGGCUUCUGGGAGAAAUUUUGUAAUUACAGUAAAAUAUAAAUGUGUCAUUGUUGGAGAGCUGUAAAAUGCAUGAACACGUGUUCAGAACUAUAAAUAUAAUGUUCUUAAAGUCAAUUUAAGCUUUGCCUUUUUUGCCAUGAUAUCUAUUAAGCUUAAGAACAUACCUCCUCACCAGCUUUUUUUCUUUUUACCAUUUGGCAAACAUCUGAUGGAGAGAGGAUAUAUCCCUUCCUCAUUUGUUAAUGAAGCCGCUUCAUAGUACCACUAUGACUCUGGAAAUAGCGUGUGAUGAUAAAAUGUAAAGCACAAAAUACAUCAUUGUUUCAUGAGCCCGUGAAACAAAAUAGUGCUUAUGUCUUUUUAAUGAAGGGAUUCCUCUGUAAUCAACACAAUAUAUGGGCAUUGCUCUUUCUUCAACAGACUUCAUAGAUUUGAAGGUAAGUUAGCUUCUUUUUCAGAAGUUUGGGUUUAUACACCAUACCAUUCUGUUUUGUUUGCCUUGUGUUUGUCAAGUCCAUUUGACUUUCUCUUCAGUUGUUUUAAAGUGUAACUCAUGAGUAACUCUUCCAGCAGAAAUUCAAUUCACUUGUUGCUGUUUUUGCUCCUGUAUUUAAAAUUGAACUGCAUCACUACUACAUUAACAGUAACAAGAAGUUAAAUCAGCCGAGGACAUGUGUAAUGCAGCAAUGCACUGGGUGGGUAAUGACCUCAGGAUGUGCAAAUAAUAGUUCAAACUUCAACUUUGGGUUUUUAUUCCAGCUUUAUCAUAUGGAGUAUUCAUUAUUCUGUGGCACUCAGCACACGCAUUGAAAUUGUUAAAUAAUUUAGCAUAUUACAAUAUAAAUUAAAAUGAGGUUUUAAAAGUUCAUGUUAAACUCCUCCUCUUUAGAAUUAGAAGUAAUGCCUUGAGAUGUAGCAUUUUCCUAAUGUCAAACCUGCGAACAUUUAGCAGGUAAAAUGUGUCUGAUCAGCAGAAUGGAUGACUACUUUUGCAGUCAGGUUGUCUGUGUUGUUAAGGACAUCUUUAUGUGCUCUUAACUUUAUAGAAAUUACUUCAGUAGAAAUCAGAGGGGGGAGCAUUUGAAAAAUGCAUUAUAUGGAAAUUCUACAAGUAGCUGUUCACCUUCGUUCCAAAGAAAAGAUUUUUUAUAGCAUGUUUGGUUUUCAAGCUGUGCUUCUGAGUAAUCUCACUGAAGUCAGAAGAUUUGCUCAUGCAGCUGGGAUGGGUAAGUAUCUGAUGUCACAGUUUGAAAAUUCUGUCAUCCAUUUAUCUAUCAGUGCUUUUUACUAGCACUGCAGUUUAUUCCUCUGCCUGGCAAUUGUUCUGAAUUCAAAUUCAUACAUGGCUUUUAUACAUGACUGUCUUGCAAUGCAUUAAACUCGUUUGUAGAAUAUUUUCCAAAAUUCUCAAGAGUAAAGACUGUUCUCUUUUCCCCAAAUCCUGGUGCUUGCCUUCCUUCUGUCUUCUUGGAACUGGCAGAGGAGAGGGAAGAUUGCCUACACUGAUGGGUGAAGAAUUGUGUAAUGAUUUUCAUAUCUCAGGCUUUCAGAAACUUGCAUAUCAAUUGACAUAGGGAACUAAACAAACUUUUUUAUCAUUUGAGAUAGUUCAAACAACUUUUUACAGCACAAGAAAUGAAAGAAAUCAAGUUAUGUUUACACUCAACAUUUAUGCAGUUUCAGCAUUCAGUCAUUAAUUCACAACCAAAAUUUUUUUUGCCUAGAGUAAAUUCUUGUAUGUAUGUGUCAAAAGGCACAAACUGAUUCAGUUUCAUUCUCUGCCAUUUUCACUUUAAUGUGUUUUGCUGACUUAGAACUUAACAAUAAUUUCUCAAUCUGAACUUCUGAAUUUUCUUUUACAAAGUAAAUAACUCUUGAAUGUUUGACCUCAAUCUAGUCCUUCCCUUUAAACUGCUGCUGACUCAUCUGUUUUAGAUCUGGCAAAAAAGGCUUUAUCUUAGCCCCAUUGCUUCCUUGAUGACACUAAGAAAUCUUUCCCUCCUGGGCUGGAGACAGCUGGGCAGAUGUGUGGCCACCCUUCCUGUCCUAGAGGUUAGACCUAGACUUUGGCCAUUCCAGGAGCUGUUUUGAGACAAAUAGUAAUCCCUUUUGCUUCACCAGCUCUGUGUGGGGUCCAAACCCAAUCAGGGGUUGGUUAGUGCACAUCCUGGAUUUUAAGUUUCAUCAACAUCUUCUGCAGUAAAAUCACAGGUGAAUUCCACUGCCCUUUUUUAACUCAUCUGUGGCUGUUGCACACUGUUGUUCUGAACUAGUUGUGUAAACAUUUGUAUUCAAGAAUGUAACUCCUGCAGCUAAAAGGGGUCAUACCAGUACAGUUCCACAGGGAAAUUUUUAAUGCUGCUGACUGUCCUGCUAUUAUAACCUGCACCAAAAAUCUGCAUGUAUCACCCUGCUUCUGUGUAGCAGUAACCAUGCUGUUUGAUGCUGUAUUAAACUGCACUUCAACCUGGUCUCCAUAAGUGUUUGCCACAGUCCAAUUGCUGUGUAUUCAAGGUAGUUAGAAGCUGUUACCGUAGAGUCAAUGGGUUCAAAACCUUGUUGUAUGUAUGGGGAAAUUCCUAUGAGUUCAACCUGCUGAACAUGAUGUCAAUGGAACUGUUAGUAUACCAGUAAAGGGAAGAACAAAACCUGUUUCACAUUGAUGGUAAAUGAUUCUCUUUUCAAGCAUCACAGAGCUGCUGCUAAAACAAGGGAAGAGGAAUCAAGCUAAUUGACAGCUUCUGUGGAUGACUGCACAGCAUAAAGUACAAAUAACAGGGCUGACAUAAGCUUUAAAAAGCACUGAUUGCCAGCUUGGGAGUAGCAUCAUCAAUAAUUGGAUUGCUCCACAACAUCGUGGCCAAGCCCUGCAUUUUCUCUGGGGUCACUUUCCACGAGUAAUUCUGAAUAUUCUUUCUGUGGCUGACAUUUCAGUUGAACCAGAUAUUUCUCUCUUAAAGACUUCCACUCUUUUGUGACAUAAGAUAUCCAUAAAUUAUUUUUUUAUUCUUAAUGUAUUGAUCUAUUAUAAAAUAAACAUUUAACUUAUGAUUCAGAGCUAUGUGUAUCACAAGAAGAUUUUUCGAUUCUGAGCUAUCACUGUUACCCCGGUUCCGACAAAGCAAAUACAAGUGUUUUCAGAUCUCACAGAUUAAGACUGAAUAGUUUAAAAUGUGUUUCAAACUAAGCUUGCUGAUGGCUUGGACAAGAAAGUUAAUUCUAGUGAGCUUUUCCAACAGUGAAUCUUAGAACUGGAGCUGCCUGUGACCAUCUUUUUUAUAAUAAUGUUGCAAUAUCAAUUGCAUAGCAAUUUACAAAGGUAUUUCAAUCUGUAACAAUCUGCUUUCAAUCUGCUUUUUCUGCCUGCAGUUUUCACAAUCCUGCUUCAUCAUUUUUGUCCUGAGGUCCUAUUGAAUUUUUGCUUAUUAUUAUUUCUUUUUACUAGUUGCAUGUUUUAACAAUCUUUCAAAAUGGUAAAGAAAAAUUAGUUUUAAAGUUCCAAGUAGUGUCUAUACAUAUUGAGUCCCAAAGAGUGAGUGAAAUCAAUAACUUGGAUGAUUCUAGUUGUGAAGAGGUAUGGGAAUGGGAUACAGAGUUUUCAGCAUCCAUAAAGCAAUAAGUGAAAUACACUUUUUGCUAAGAAAUGCUACGUAGAUUUUGGUCAAAUCCCAAAUCUCACUGUCAAUCAGUUGGUGGUAGAAAGAAGUAUAUCCUGUGAGAUCCUGCACAAUGUUAUGUCUGAGCCUCACCUGGCAACUCCCAUGUAAAAUCACCAGUUUUGUUUAAACCACAACAAGGACAAUUAAUAUUUAAAGAUUUGCCUUUGUGGUAUCCCAGGCAGAAAGAGUUAAAACCAUUCACAGCUUUUUCUUGGAAUUUCCCUCUCCUCUCCAGAGAGGUCUGUUCUGGAGUCAUGUAAACACAGACAUCUGCUUGCUGUCACUUCACCCUUAUUUUGAAUUCAUAAGAAUAGAAAGAAUCCCUGGGGGAGUUCCAGACCAGGCCACUUUCAGCCACCAGCUCUCUAUGCCUUUAUCCAGUAAAAAGGCAGAUGAAGUGCUGGGGCUCAUAUGUAUUUCAUGAACCUUCUGGCUUUGAGUUUUGUUAAACUUUGAAGUUAGAAAUGCAAUUCAUUCUGUCUGAAAAUAGUGUCAACCCAAAUUUAUUUUUCAUACAAAAAGCGGACAAAACUUUUUUAUACCUAAACUGUGUAAAGGAAAUUGUGAAGUACAGUAAGCUUACGGUAAGAAGACCACUAAACUAGAGUUGCUGUCUUGAACAAAAAGUUUUCUAGGCAAAGUCUGUUUAGUGGGAGUCUCUCCAUCUCUUGUGCUUCUCUUUGGAAGUACAAACAACCUCUUUAUAUGUGAUUUAGAAAUCAGGGCUCAUCUUUUAAUUACUUUGCCUCUCAGUGACUCCAGACAGGCAAGUGUGGAAGACCUGAGCAAAUAGGAGAACAGUCAUUCACUGUAGAAAGAGCUUUAAUCCCUAUAUCCUGCUAAACAGAAAUUCACAUUACAGAUGUAAACAUUACUUUUAAUGUAAAGCUAAACCAACACAUCAAUUUUAUUUCAUUAAGCAGCAAAUCAGUCUUCAGAGGGGAUAACAUUAUCAGUCCAACAUUUUGCAUAUGGGAAAAUGAAUGAAUAGCAAGAGAUGUCUUGCUUAAGCCUUAUUAUUGUUUAUUAUUGGCAGAAGAGAACCUGGUGUUUUCUGCCCUUCCUAUUGCAUUCCCUAAUCAAUAACAUUUUCAGAUCAAGUUUCAAAUGCAUUGCCUUCCUGGAAGGAGGGGUGCCAGUAGAAAGUCAGCCAUGCUUUCCAACACAUGGUAGUGAUACGUGGUAGCUGUUUAAUUCUGUGAGAAUCUCUCUCACUCUCUGCUGUAACUGUUCAUUAAAUGUUCCAAAUUCUGACAGAGCUCUGAAAAGAACUCCUUAAUUUCCUCAAGCACCUUUCAAAUCUACUGUAGAGAAUAAAAAUAGAAACAUUGCUCUUAACGAAAGAAUAAGCAUUCAAGAUGAGAAUCUCCAUGCUUGCUUUGAUAACCUACAUGUUUGUGUGCUUCACAGCUCUCCAGGAGAGAGUCUUCCAUGGCCAAAAUAAGUAUGCCAAAUUAUGCAUUUUUUUUUUUUUUAAUGGAAGGGGGUUUUAUUAAAAACCUCCAACAUUAUUUAAAAGGGAAAUUCUGACACUGGAGAAUUAAAUGGAAAUCCCUGCUGAAGUUAACAGGGGUUCUGGUUUUCAUCCUUAGUCUGAACUAAAAUCUGCAAUGACAGCAGGAACAAUUUCAACCCAAGACAACAGUUUUAAGUUUUCAUUCACAACACCAUAGCAAUGGAGGUCACAAUCUCCUUAGAAAAGGAAUAUUUACUGUAUUGAAUUUCAUUGCAUAUGGAAAUGAUUUAUGCUGUAAUCAGAAGCAUAUCCCCUUCCAGUGGAAGAUUCUCAAGCAAUUGUCAUGGAGCAAACCAGUCUUUAGCUCACUAGGCAUUAAUUUAACAAGAUCUUUUUUUUUUUUUUAAAUGACCAGUAUCUUCAUAAUUGAUUGGUGCUUAAUCUGGUGCAGCACCUGCUCUCUCAAACUCCUGUGGUUCAGCCUAUCAGAUUCAUGAGUCAGAAAGCCAAUUGUGACAGUAUUAUAAAAUGUAUUGGAAUAAACUUUCCACGCUUCAGAACAGAAAAAUAAUCUACUAAUUGAUUUCCAGAGUUGAGGUUUCAGGUCCUGAAGGGUUUUUUGGUUGGGGACCCUUUUUGGACAGGAACUUUAAGUGACAUCAUCACUUUGUAAAGCAUAGAGCUGUCAUCAUAAUUAUAAGUCUUUUCAUGUAUUUUAUUUUUUAAAAGCUACAGAAAAUCAAGACUAAAAAUGUUAAUGCAUUUCUACUAGUGGUCAAGCUGUGCAAAUGCUGAAUUUAUAUUCCAGCAAUAUGUAAUACUUCACACGAUAUAGAUGAUGUUUUACAAAGCACAGGGUGUAAAAGUGUAACAAAUCUGAUUUCUUGCUUUUUAUGACUACCUAAAGAGUGCUUAAUGUCAACUUGGGGCAGCUUUUGCCUUCCCAUUUAGGAACAGUUUUAGACCUGCUCUGAAGAACAGUAGAAGCUGCCACCUUCCCUGCUGCACUUUGGAGCAUCCUACCAAUAAGAAAUCUACUCCAAUUUCUUGUGUCUGCUUAUGUGCUGAUGAAUUUAAUAAUGCUGCUGUGGAUGUGUUCCCUCUCCUGUCCUGUGAAAUCCUUCAACUCAGUCACACCACAGCUUGUCAAGGCAUCACACAAGCAAAUGGUGAUUUCUUGGAAAGGGUGGAGCCCAUGUCCUGUGAAACACUGCAUAGCAAAGCAAAUGCUUUUGUGUUUUUCAUGUCAAGCUGUUGUCUCUGCAUUGUGUAGAAACUUGGUCAGUUAUCAUCAUUUCCUAUAGCAGGAGCUAUUUUAAAUAUCCAUCACACUUAAAACACAAGAAAUAGAUUUCCUCAAAGGGAAACAUCUAUAUUUGAUGUUCUUUCUAUUCUGCAUUUGAAUCCUGACUUCUUCCUGUUAGCUGCAGCCUCUUAUGUUGUCAGAAGAAGGUUUUAAACAUUUUUAUUUACUGAAUAUAACUGAUCCCUCUCAUUGUCAUAGCAUUUCUCCCCAGAUUCUUUGUAGAAAAUUGAUGAUUUCACCUAAAUUUAAACUACCAGCUUCCGUAUUAUAUCAUGGUCCAUGGACCAUAUUUAGCUCUGUUGGAUGCUCCUUACUCCCCUUCUGCUUUUGCCACCACAAACAUGUCCUAUGGACUAAAUAUGUAGAUGGAAACAUACUUUAGUCAAGACAGGAAGGAAGCCUCAUACUGGGACUGCGUCUCAAACAAUCCAAUGCAAUUUGAUGGAAAUACUUAUUCAGUGCUUUGAUUUACAGCUUCCCAUAAUGAAGGGCAUUGUGUAAUAGUUUUUACAAUACAAAAGCUCCAUAAUGCUGAAAUCUUAAUACAGGACUGAGGAAUGAAAAAAGGAAAAAAAGAAAAAAAGCAAUGGAAGAGGUUGCAAGAUAGCAACAAAUGACAGACAAAUAAAGCAUGCAGAAGGUUUCCCUGAAUACAGAGAAACAAUUUGCAUUCUAACAUUGAGACUAGUAAGAAAUAUCCAAACCCAAAAUGAACAGGAGCUUCCCAGGAGAUCAGCUGAAAGAGAAGGUCAUCUCCAAUUCACCUAAUGCUAAAAGCUGAAAUAGGGUUAAAUUUCUGAUAGAACAGGUCUGCAAAGUUUUCUUGAAUUUGUUGACUGUUUUAUCAUUAUCCCCAAAAGGCAGCAUUGUCAUGGCAAGUACAGUUUGCAAAUAAAAAUGAUUACUCCUACCUGAAUGUCUUGUUUCACUGUCUUGCGUAACCAUAUGGGCUUGCUUGGAAGUCUCACAGCAGGAUCUGUAACCCAUAGGAAGAAGCAGUCUGGGAAGAAAAAUGUAUAUAGCUUCUAAAAUCUGCCAGGUUUAGAGUAAUACUUUCCUGAUGCAGAAUUGCCAAACCAUCUGCAGGUAAGUUUUGAACUAUUAUUUACUACUCCUCAUAUACAACAUUAAUAGACUCCUGUUCAUUUCCCGUGUCAUCUGUUGUUCUUAGUCCAUUCCCUACCCCCUCCCCCUCACAAACAGCUUUUAGAAAAAAUGGGAUUAAAAAUGCUCACAAUUAAUCUUUGUUCUGCAGAGAAAGCAGGAAAGUGCCUAUGCAGUCAGAAGGUCCACUGUCUCCCUUGUCUUGAGGGCAAGGACUGCAGCCCAGGGAUGACAUGAGUUCUCAGGAAUAUUUGUGGGGCAGGAAAGGUUACAGGACCACAUAUGGGUAACUUUGGCUGCUGUUUUUGUCUGCUUUGCACAUCAUCCUUUGUUUUCCAGUAUGGGGAUGUGUUUUAAUUUUAGCUCUAGUGCAGGAAGGCAGGGAAUGGCCUGCUCCUCUUCUGUAACUUCCAUGCAUUUUUUGAUACUGGGUUAGCUGUAAAGCAGAAGUCUAGGUUUCUCAAUCAGUUUCUCAAUCAAAAAAUUAUUUGCAGGCAGUUUCUAACAUCCAAACACUCUCUGAAGGGCAAUACCAGUAAAGAAAAACAGAAAAUUUAAAAAAACAAAACAAAAAAACCACCACCAAACCGAGUCCUGCUUUGAAACCACUCCCGUAGAUCCUUUUGCAGUUGGUAAGGAUGAAGGAGAAUGAAAAUAAAUAAGUAAUGAGCUCUUCCUUACUCUCUGUUCAGGGAAAAUCACCUCCUAAAGCCAGGUGUUCAGUUCUCUGUGAGCCCAUUCCUUUCUCAGGGUGGCCUGGAGACAGAGCAGGGAGAGACAGUGACACUGGCAGCUCUUAGGGCAUUGAUGCUUGGAGAGGCUCCCAAAGGCAGGGCAGGCACAUCAGAACAUCCUGACCACGGCCACCUGGGCCAAACCAAGAUCCCAAAAGGCUGUCGAGAGUGUGCUGCUCCCCAUGAUGGAACCUGCUGACACGCUCCACACAUUUGUGAAACAGGGCUGAAGAGAACUCACAGGAGGAAAGACAAAAGGCACCUGUGUUAGACAUUGCUGUGCAUUAAACACUUGCUUCCAACUCUGUCCUCUAGCACUAAUACCACAGCCUAGCACGCAGGAGGGAGUGCAGCAGAGAGGCACCUGCACGAGUCAAAUACUGGCCACUUACUCCCCCAACUUACCUUCAGGGCAGCACACAGCUGUUCGAUCUGCUUGUGAGUACAAGGCUGGUUUCUGCAACACUUACCCUUGAGUAUUGCCCUUUCUAACCAGCUAGGCCUCUUCUACACUGUAUUUCCUAAUAUUGAAAAAAAAAAUCUUCACAAAGCCUCUUUGCAAGAAGUCCUAUUAAAGGUAUAUUCACCAUGUGAUGAGAAUUUGCCAUAUCAAUAGUAUGCCCAAAGUGCCCCCAGAGGAACUGCUGAAGAAGAAUUGAAGCUGUGCUGUGUGAAGUGAUCCAAGUAUUGCCUAUUGGUGAGGGCUGCUCUAAUUAAGAAAAAGAAAACAUUACCAUAAGGCUCAAAGUCCUUCUGACUGUGCCUUAACAAGUAAACAACUUUAAAAGCAAAACCCUCAAGCUCCAUCAAAGUGACUGGGAAAAGCAACAGUCACCCUAUUUGUCAAACAAAGUUCUCUGCCCACGCUCACUGUGACUGCAAAGUGCUCCAACUUUCAUUUUCUUCCACAUGGUGGGGGAGUUUGGUAGCUCUAAUCCUGUUCAUCCAGAUGGCCUGUCAGGUUUUAUAGGCAUUCCUUAAAAAUAGAAGCAACCUAAUCCUGGUUCAGGUAAUUUAAAAGAAAUUUCUGCAAAACUGCAUUGUUCUUUAAAGCUAGCAGACAAUAAUUCAUGGCUUUGACAAGAGGACUGGUUUCCUCUCUUACCACCAAUUUCAUAGACCCAUUCCUUACUCUGUGUUGAUACACAAGGAACUGCAGAACAGCCUGUAUCUCCUCUUUCACUUGGUGCUAUUUUACUUGCGGCUGAGGAUAUCGACUGACAUGCAGGUCCCACUGGAAUUAUUACCGGUCCCUUAUUGCACAGCUGGCUACCCAUAUGGCAGUAAGAGCUCAAUGACAGAGAUGCCGCACCAUUCUCAAACCAUUUCACACUCAUGCUCCAACAUAAACCAGAGCCAACUUUGUUACAGCUUUGUUAUGAGUUGCAAUAACAGCUUUCAUGAGAAAAACCGAGCAGACAACUAGAACUGGUUACACACAACUGCCAGAUCUGUGACAUGCAAGCCAACACCCUGUGAAAUACAGCCUGGGCUUGUCCCAGAACCGAAGGUCAGGCUUCAACUGUAGCUGUCACCAAAACAGGGUUUCCAGAGUGAGGUGUUUGGGCUGCAGCUACACAUCUUGUCAGCCUAAUGUCAAAUGACACCUCUGUAACUGCUGCUGGCCCCUGUAACUUCCAACUGCAUUUUCACUGCCCAUCUAUUGACUUCACCAAUGACAAGUGAUGAAGCAGCACUCUGCACAGCCUCAAGGUUAAGAGACCUGAAGAUAACAGCAAGUGCCAUGUUUUUGGAUGGAGGUAUAACAUUUAUUGAAAGAUUCAAAAGGUUUCAUUAGAUAACUAAUACAGUAGGAAAAAAACAAGAAAAGCCUCGGGCAUUCAAAGCACAGUUGCCUAAGCCAGACUCAGUUCACAGUGUCUCACUCACCACUGAAAACACCUGGCUCUUUAGGUUUGGUGUCCCAUUGCUUCUAACACGCACAGCAUCCCUUUUAAAGAGAGCGGUGGAGAACAAUAACUGCACCUCUGCAGUCUGCUCAGGCACUGCAAAGAAAAAGCCACGUUGUCCAUCGCCCACCGUCCUGAGCAGCUGACAGGUGCUGAAGCAGCGGCCUCUCAGCGCUGGCAAAGCCCCAGUCCCACAUCCCAGCACUCCGCCUGCUCUGGGGCGCCAUCAGUGCUUCCAGGGCUGCUCUGCUGCACCUCUGCUCCCACAGCACCCACGCUGCCAGCAAAGCUCACAGCACCUGCCCCUGCAGGGCUCCUUCCAAACAGCACUGCAGCAGAAAACUGCAGAACUUCAAUACACUGAAAACAUCCUCAGAUUAACCCACUGUUCUUUUGAAAUGCCUUUUGACAACCAGACAGGGAAAACAAAGAAAGACUUCAAUUUUCAUGUAUUUUAUUUACAGGCCGCACAAUACAUUUUAUAUACAAAUGGCUUAAAAUAACAAAGAGUAAGCAAGCUGAAGCAUAACAAUUUAUUUUAAAUUAAGUUGUCUCGAAAUAACUCCUGCAAUAAAGUUUCUUCACCCUGAUAAGCAAGUUAAUUUGAUUUUAAGUCAACCCAAGGUAAUUUUAUUUUAAAAUAUAGAAUUCAAAUAAAUUUUCUGGUGAUUCCUUAUUUUCAUGACACACUCUGCAAAUACAGAACAUCCCAAAACUCUCAAGAAGGGUAAUAGCCAAAAUUUCCUCAUCUAAAAAACACUAUAACAGAACAGACUGGAGAAAUGUUGUAUGUAAAACACUUGCAUGUUUUAUUAAUGAAAAGAAGAAUGCAAGUAGUACGCCUGACAUUUUUCUCUCUUGGAAACAGAAUUCAUGGUCCAAGAUCUAAUUUGCCUGCAGACAAGAGGUAUCCUGUGUUAUUUCACUACUUCAGUUUUUACCACACAAUUAUCUACUUAACUCAUCCAACUAUAAACUUCACCAAAACUGAAACUGCCUCCACCAAAACUGAAAGCAAAAGAAGAGCGCUCAAAAUCGUAAGAACUUAAAACGUGGCACUUAGUGCCUCUGCUUCUAGAAAGCACCUGACACUACUGCGGGAUGGAGACAAUUUAAGAGACCACAUUUUAUGGAAACAUAAGAAAAUAUAGAAGUUUGCCAUUUUAAAAUUAUUUUUCCAAGAAAUUAAAAUAGCAUUUAAGGAGACAUGUAUUUUUUUAUCUCUUCCCUAGCACUGCUCAUUCUGUUUAGGAUAAUGACGACUAGAGAUCCAUAAAAGCAGUUUCCUUUUCCUUUGGCUGAAUUUAAGCAUAAUAAUUGUCUUAAGUGUUUUAAGUCAUGGUCAUUAGCAGUUCAGUCAUGCUCACUUUCUUCCUCUUGGUAUGGCUAAAGAUGACUUAAUAUAAAUAAUGAAGCACUUGCUAUUUGAUAGUCCAUUAUUACAGUAUUUCAUUACACUUAUUUAGAAAUACAAACACACAACACUUACUUUUCGCUGGGGUAUCCAGGUCUCUAUAGCUCAUUUUGGAAUUGCAGCACAGAAAACAUAAACCCAAAGGAAUGAGGAAGAAAGUAAUGAAAGCCAUGGCUCCACAGAAAAAUAAUGCUGUUUUCAGAAUGUCUGCUACUACAUCAAAAAUGCAAGAGCCACAUGAUGUAAAAAUGCCAAACUAGUACAGAUUCUGCCGAGUGGAGUUCACGCACAAGGGUAAAUGCUGCCAUAAGCACCUCACCAUGUGAUUUAGUUCAAAAGAAAUGUUGGCAGAUAAUACACAGGUCCGGUACAAAUGAAUGUGGGCCUGCUGUCCUUAGAUCUGGGCAGUUCCCUAGCUGCUAACCUGCCCAGACACAAUUCCAGGCCAGGGGAGAGCGGCUGCAGGCACCAAUCCUCCUGCCACAUGUGCACCAGCCCAGGAGAAAAGGUGUCAGCAGAAGAGCCAGGAAGAUUCCCUGGAUUGCAGAGAAGGCAAUCUUUUUAGAGUUAACACAAAUAGAAAUACAUUAACUUUCUCUCCAAAUUAUCCCAACACUGUUGUCCCAGGCAAAUACAGCGUUCAAAGUCACAAGCUAGAAAUCCUUAAGCUGGGGAAAUGUCAUUGUACAGUAUUCAUCUGCUUACAGCAUGCCAGAGUUUUGUUUGAUUCAUCUGGAAGUCACUUACUUUUUGCACCUCCUCUCUCCUCAGAGUCAGGAUUACUUGUGCUGGGGCUGUGGGGGCUUUUUUGUGGCCAAAGACUGAAAUCCAUUCUGGUAGAACAAUGUCUGAAAGUACUGCCAGUCCAUAAGCAAACUGCACACUCAUUUACAGAUGCAGAGGGGACCUACUUCUCUACACCGAAUUAAGCUAACUAAAUGACUUGAAAAUUUAUGUCCAAAAGGGAAGGUAGGAGACACAACUUCUUCCUUGUAUCUUUGUAUUGGAAGUCAAUUAAUUUAGUUCUCUGAGAUGUACUUUCCAUUUGAACUUACCUGUGUUUUCAGCCUACUACUGCCUGCAGUUACACUUCAAGUGCAGGUGGGUAACCUCUGACUGCACAUCUUUAGCGAAACUAAGUGCAUAUAAGCUUUGAAAGCUUGAUUCUAGAAAAAAAAAAAAAAAAA